rnacentral:tRNA from 2 species
GGUGGCUAUAGCUCAGUUGGUAGAGCCCUGGAUUGUGAUUCCAGUUGUCGUGGGUUCGAGCCCCAUUAGCCACCCCA